rnacentral:rRNA from 1 species
GCCAAACAGCUAGCCUCACCACCAAAAGAGAUUCACAACAUACAUAAUCAACCGUGUCCUGAAAUAAUACAUUAAACCAUUUUCCUCAUCCUAGUAUGGGCGACAGAAAAGAUACAACAAGAGCAAUAGAGAGAGUACCGCAAGGGAAAGCUGAAAGAGAAGUGAAACAACUCAUAUAAGCACAAGAAAUCAGGGACAAAACCCCGUACCUUUUGCAUCAUGAUUUAGCCAGCACUAGCUAGGCAAAGAGACCUUUAGUUUAGCACCCCGAAACCAGGUGAGCUACCCCGAGGCAGCCUAUAUAUUUAGGGCCAACCCGUCUCUGUGGCAAAAGAGUGGGAAGAACUCCGGGUAGGGGUGACAGACCUAUCGAACCUGGUUAUAGCUGGUUGCCCAAGAAAUGGAUAGAAGUUCAGCCUAGUACCCUCCACAUUUAGUAGAUCGCUAAAAUCAAGGAAAACAUACUAGAGUUAGUCAAAGGGGGUACAGCCCCUUCGACGAAGGACACAACCUUAACAGGAGAAUAAAGAUCAUAAUACACAAAACGGAUUGUUUUGGUGGGCCUAAGAGCAGCCAUCCAACCAGAAAGCGUUAAAGCUCAAGCAAGCAGAAGUUAACUAUACCGACAAUAAAAUCUUAAUUCCCUAUAAAUACUGGGCCGCCCCAUGCCAACAUGGAAGAGAUAAUGCUAGAAUGAGUAAUAAGAAGACUAGAACUUCUCCUAGCGCAAGUGUAGACCGGACCGGACCAACCACCGAUAAUUAACGGACCCAGAAAAGAGGGAAUUGUGACUUACAAGAAAGUCAAGAAAAGCCCACAACAUCCACCGUUAUCCCCACACUGGAGCGCGUCUUAGGAAAGACUAAAAGGAGGGAAAGGAACUCGGCAAACACAAGCCUCGCCUGUUUACCAAAAACAUCGCCUCCUGCAAUCGAACAGUAUAGGAGGUCCAGCCUGCCCAGUGACUAUUAGUUUAACGGCCGCGGUAUUCUGACCGUGCAAAGGUAGCGUAAUCACUCGUCCUUUAAAUGGGGUCAAGUAUGAAAGGCUAGACGAGGGCUUAGCUGUCUCCCCUUCCAGGUCAGUGAAAUUGAUCUAUCCGUGCAGAAGCGGGUAUAAAAAUACAAGACGAGAAGACCCUUUGGAGCUUUAGGUACAGGACUUAACCACGUUAAGCAAGUUAAUAAGAACACUAACCCCACUGGGGAUUAAGACCCUACCUUCGGUUGGGGCGACCACGGAGAAAAACAUAACCUCCGAGUGGACCGGGAAACCCCUAGAGCUAAGAGAUCCAUCUCUAGGCCACAGAAUUUCUGACCAGAAAUGAUCCGGUCAUUUGACCGAUCAACGAACCAAGUUACCCUAGGGAUAACAGCGCAAUCCUCUCCCAGAGCCCAUAUCGACGAGGGGGUUUACGACCUCGAUGUUGGAUCAGGACAUCCUAAUGGUGCAGCAGCUAUUAAGGGUUCGUUUGUUCAACGAUAAAAGUCCUACGUGAUCUGAGUUCAGACCGGAGUAAUCCAGGUCAGUUUCUAUCUGUAAACCUACUUCUUCCCAGUACGAAAGGACAGGAAAAAGGGGGCCCAUACCCGGAGCACGCCCCACCCCAAAUUUAUGAACACAAAUAAAUCAAGUAAAAGGGAGCCACAAAGAUCCGAACUCUAGAUAAGGGU